CUGGAAUAUUUAAAAAACAGACCGUUUACUGACCGCAAAGUAUCAUAUCAGUCCUUUAUAAUUUCAGAAUUUUAUGAAAAUUAUUUGUCUCGCCACGAAUCAAAAUUUCAAUGGGCAAAUGAUUUUAGCAGCAACCUUGUCAUCUCAGUAACGUCACUUCGGUCUCCAUGAACCAACGGCACCUGAGGAACUGGGAGACGCUUAGACGUAUUGACUGCGAUCAUCCCCUCUGACGGCUGUGGACACUGGAGGCAGCCGUUGCCGUCGCUUGACAGGGAGGACCCAGGCACUGAAGAUAAAACCAUUCCGGACACAGCCUGGAUGCUAGCAGACCUCGUUGUCCUGCUGGCAGGUUCGGAAUGGGGGGCCCCCACUUCGUGACCAGAGGGACUCGGUGCACCUGAGCCACGCUGUGCCCCUGGCCUGGCACUGACGUCACGGGCAGCUCGACUCUGACCUUCUGCGGAGGAGCCCAGGAGUACAGCCCCACGCCUCCGAAAUGCCAUGCUGAGGUCUUCCUGAAGGCUUUAAGCGGAAUGCCUGUUUCUGGCGGACAAAUGGUGCCUGUUUCCGGUGGAUAGGAUCCCAUUCUGAGCUUUGCAAAACCUGGGGAGAAAGAGAGGCGUU